AUUGAACGCUGGCGGCAGGCCUAACACAUGCAAGUCGAGCGGAUGAAGGGAGCUUGCUCCUGGAUUCAGCGGCGGACGGGUGAGUAAUGCCUAGGAAUCUGCCUGGUAGUGGGGGAUAACGUCCGGAAACGGGCGCUAAUACCGCAUACGUCCUGAGGGAGAAAGUGGGGGAUCUUCGGACCUCACGCUAUCAGAUGAGCCUAGGUCGGAUUAGCUAGUUGGUGGGGUAAAGGCCCACCAAGGCGACGAUCCGUAACUGGUCUGAGAGGAUGAUCAGUCACACUGGAACUGAGACACGGUCCAGACUCCUACGGGAGGCAGCAGUGGGGAGUAUUGGACAAUGGGCGAAAGCCUGAUCCAGCCAUGCCGCGUGUGUGAAGAAGGUCUUCGGAUUGUAAAGCACUUUAAGUUGGGAGGAAGGGCAGUAAGUUAAUACCUUGCUGUUUUGACGUUACCAACAGAAUAAGCACCGGCUAACUUCGUG
rnacentral:rRNA from 1 species